rnacentral:rRNA from 1 species
UACGUAGGGUGCGAGCGUUGUCCGGAAUUACUGGGCGUAAAGAGCUCGUAGGUGGUUUGUCGCGUUGUUCGUGAAAUCUCACGGCUUAACUGUGAGCGUGCGGGCGAUACGGGCAGACUGGAGUACUGCAGGGGAGACUGGAAUUCCUGGUGUAGCGGUGAAAUGCGCAGAUAUCAGGAGGAACACCGAUGGCGAAGGCAGGUCUCUGGGCCACUACUGACGCUGAGAAGCGAAAGCAUGGGGAGCGAACAGG